GGGAGUUUCCUUAUGACAAAAAAUCAUGCCACUUGAUGAGAUGCCGGUUAGUAAAGUGUGUUGUUUGCCCAAGCCUGGCUUUGUCUCUCAUAGAUAUGUUAUGCAUGGACUAAUUGUCUCCAUGGUCCCCUGUAUUGAGUGGAAGGUGCUCACCUGGAUUGGUCUUUUAUGUAGAUAGUUUAGUUGUAUUUCAAAUUUAGAAGUUUCUGUUGUGAUGUCCUUCUAUGAGCUGAUUUUUAGAGGAAUAUAAAGAAAGUUUAGGGGUACUUCUUUCUGCUGAUUUUGAGGAUGAUUUAGGGAUUUGGAAACUGAUAGCAUGAAACAAUUAAAUCACAAUUUUUAUGGCUUACUAUUGCCCUCUGGCUUAGUGCUUGGAACACUUGGAAUGAUUUCAUUCCUUUUUUUUUUUCCACAUAUGGUUGGGUGAGAUUAAUUAUAUUCUCACUGUUCAGUAGUUUGAAGCAAUGGCUUGAACCUUUUGUUUCUUAUUCAUAAAAUUGAAAGCCAUCUCAAAAUGGAAUGAGUCACCGAUGCCAUACAGGUCCAGCCAGAAAGCUCUAGACGUGUACAAGAACGAGCUUGAGGUUUACGUGUUCCCACCAGAAAUCUGGGAACACUAUAUUUGGAUCCUUCUAUAGGUCUUUUUAUAUGUCAUGUUUACUCUAAAUUAUUACUACAUUACCAUCAAAUACUGGUUACCUAAAUUGUUGACUUUAGUUUUUGUUUUCUUGGAUCCAAAUAUAGGGCCUUCAAUUUAUCUAUUUGCUUUUAUUUUGAUAGUAAGGAAUGAGUUUGAUUAAUAGAAUAUUCCUAUCUUGCAGGGGCUCAAACGGCUAAAGAAAGUCCAUCCUAAAGGGAAAUUAAUGCGAUCACCAGCUGACAGCUGUACAAACCAUAAGCCUGACCGACAUUGUAGCCCCCGUGCUAAUUCUAAGGAAACUUCAUGUGACACACCUAAAGAAAGGUUUUUUGGUGGAACCACUGCUCCCAUGCCCUUCAAGUUCAGGCAAUCAUCGGCAGGCUUGAAAAUGCUUGACAGGGAUGACCUUGAGAGAAUGAAAUCAAGAGAACAUAACAGAAGGAACAAUUUCCCAGUUGAUGUGAGAAAGACCAUGAGGGAACCCCCACAUAUCGAGAUAGGGCCAAAGCAGCUCAAAGUCAGAGGUCCAUUAUUUCCUAAUAGGGGUGAGCAGCCUGGAUCAAGAAGUUGGAAAUCUGGCGGAUUUGCAUCUGGAGCAUCUUCUAGUGCCUGACCUGACUUUCCUAAUGUGAUUUCUCUCUAAUUCGGUUCUAACAAUACGUAAAGCUAAAAUUGAUUUGACUCUGGGAGCAGCAACAACAUUUAACAGGGAGCCUAUCUGCAUGAAAAGCAGAGGAGUUGAGUAGAGUCCUAUUGUAAAAAAUUUGUUCGUCAGUCGAUUCUUGUCUCAUAGAUUAAUCUGCUGCUUCCCUUCCCAAGUUCUUUAUUCUUUUAUGUAUCAAGUACCACUUCAAUAAAAAAGCAGAGAAAAUCCCCUUUUCUCAUUGAUUUUGUGUAA